UUUCCUUUCACUAGGAAAAAGCAAAGAACAGAAACAGUCACUGACUUUGGAACAGAGCUUAGGAAAUAAGAAUGACAUCAAUUACCAUCAAAGAAGCAGGUGUAAUGACAAAAAACCAGUAGUAUUAGGCUGGAGAACACAGUAAGUUAAAGAUAAAAUGUAUUUUUUACAUGAAUAGCUGUUGCUAGUUCCUCCAGCAAAGGAGGAAAGUACCCAAGGCAAGGAUGCCUUAGUCACUCUCACAAAAAUGAAGAUUUUACCUUUUAUUUCUGUAAGUGAAUAGAAUGCUACAGGGAGGAGCAUGAUGGAAAAACCUUAGAGUGUACAGCAAUAAAAAGAAAUGGCUCUACAAAUGAACUCUGUGGCACUAGGAGGCAAAUACAGCAAUUACUAAGUUUAAGGGAUGACAAAUACAAAAUGUCAGCAUAUGUGCAGACAUUCUUGAAAGAAAAGGUCAUGAAAAAUGACAAAUAAAAGACACGUAUUUGCUGUGAAAAGAUAUUCUAAGUCAAAGCUAAAAACCUUUAUUUAAAGGCACUUCCAUAAGAAGAGCAUGUUAUCCAUAAUAUCUAGAGUAUAUGCUCUAAUCUACUCACUGUAGUAUCAGUUAAUAGAAGAUAUGGAGAUUUAAAAUAUUAAGUGUAAACUUACAUCCUUUUAAAAAACACUCAAGCAUGAAGAAAUAUCUUUGUAUAGAAUAUUUCAUUUCAAUGAAAACAAAUAAUUAACAAAGAAAGAAACCCAUAAGGCCUUUUCCUUAACAAUACCUUCAGAAAUGCUGAGAGCUCUUGAACUUUUUUUCACCAAUAAUCUUCCUCUCUUUGAUUUUGUUUUUGGUUUUCCAAACAUUAAGUUUCUUCUCUUGUUUACCUAACACAUGUGUAACCUAGUCAAAUAUGAUGUCAUUGGAAGCGUUAUACCACUAAGAUAAGACCAGCUAAGGGACUUCCUGAGCUAAAGGUCUUAUCUUUGACUGCAUCAUAAAAUCUGAUAAUCCUCUGUGGAGAAGUGGUAAUAAAACUCAUUCAUACCACAAUAAAUUAAUAUGGCCAGUGUUAUUUGUUUUUCAGCUGCUUGUAAUAGCAGCAUAUUUUGCUUUUGAGAUUUCUGGUACUGUAUGGUGGCAUUCAGAGGUCCAGCAUCUAAAGGCUCUAGGCUGCCUCUCUGAUUGCUCACCUCACCAAGCUCUGACACUGAACUCACCUCAGCAAAACUCUGUGACCUUGCUUAGGGAAAUACAAGACUUCAGACAUGCUGUUUCUUGCAUUUUUCAUAACAGCAACAAUCAAAAUAUGUCUUAGAACUCUCAUUUAAAGAAAAACUACCCAAACACAGAUUAUCCAAACUCUAAGAUCAUUGUUACAAAGAUAAAUUCCCCUAUCUUGAAGGUAUAUGCUUUUCGUAUUAAUAUGUUGUACCAGGGUCAUUCCUGAACCCUACUAGGAGUAGGUCCCUGGAUCUUCUGAGGGUAUCUUUCAAAUACAGAGGGAAAGAAUGCACCAAGAAAGACUGGGGCCAGCUGAAUGCCAGCAACUUGUUCUAAUUCAUGCACACUGAUGUAUGUCUAGGUAUUGCCAAUAUCCACUGGCAAAAAAUUUCACCUUUUGAAUCACUGAGGGGCUGUCAUCACCUUCCACCAGCACUAGGAGGUGUUGAACACCUGGCUGAAGGACACCAUGUGAGCAAGGAAGAAAUCAUUGUGUAAUCAAGGUGUUCCUUAAAAAUAAAGUGUCCUGGUCAAAUAGUUCCUGACUAAAUAUUUAAAGAGACUAAAUAUUGAAAUAUUGAGGCUAAAUAUUGACUAAAUAUAAAUAACAAUCUGUUUUUAAGAGAAACAUUAAUACAAUUUGUUGUUCUACUCUGCUGUCUUGGGGGAGAACUUAAUAAUCAAAUAUCCGAAUGCUGUUCCAUUAAGAAAAAUGCGUUUAUACUUGAGAAAUUUGAUUUGAUAAUUUAAUGUUAAUGUUGUAGCUUAUUGACAGUUUAGUUAAUGCCUCUUGCAUCUUCUCUGCAACUGUUUGACAACAUUGCCUUACGACUUCCCUGAGCUGUCAAACACACUGAAUCUAGAUGUUCGCAUGAGUACGCAUGAAUGGUUCAGUAGCUUCUGUGCAAAGGAAAGCCAGAAGGAUGAAACACAGAAACAGAGUUAGAGGCACAGAUAACCAAACUCAAUUACUCCACAUAGUUUUCACUCUGUUGACUCUGGUAAUUUUAAUUGUUUUCAAUCACAAAUAAGACAAAGGUCAACAUGAACGUGAAUCAUACUGUGUCAUGUGGUUCUUGCAGACUUACAAACAGGUUUGUCAGCAUUUCUAGCAAACAGCAGCUGCAGGAUGAUGCCAAAUGUUCUAUGUCUAAAGCUCAUUAGUUGUUUCUUUGCUUUACAAAAAUAGAACUCUGUGCCUGGUUGGAAACAGGAAGCUUUGAACUUAAACUGUACAUCACACUCAGCUGUCUUCUUUUGACAUAUCUCUUCAGAGAGUGUUACCCAUCCUUCAGACACAAAACACUCCCAACACAAAACCUUCCAAAAGUUGCAGUACCUGCCUAUUCAAAACUUUGUCAUCUUUGGAAGCAUUCUUUCACAUUUUACUGAGAUGAUUUCAGGAAAUGUCCAACAGUCCUAAUAACACAAAGGAACAGCACUUGUAAGUUCACUUUGCAAGAAUAUGUGAAAUGUCGUAGUUUCUUUCAAAUGCUUGUACAUCAUAUACCUGCUGGCAACGUAGCUGUAAAUUAACAAGAGCUGACAGGUUUAAGAGGAGUUUGUGGGAUUGUCACUUCUGAGGCUGUGAAGACGGCUGCACCGUAGCUAUUCCACUGCACUCCGAUUACGCUCAUCCCCCAGCGCGCUACAACACUGGACACUGCUAACACAGCAUGCCUGGCCAUCAGGCUGGAAACAUCACCUGAAAGGACCAUUUUCCAGUGUGCAGAGCCUUCUACUGCUAAGGCAUUCAUGCUGAGGCUAGGAAAUGUGAGCCAACGUCUUGAUUCACAUCUCUGCAAGUUUUCCCUCCAAAAGGGAUUACUGACCAGUUAAUUUUAGCUGAAAGGAAGUUCAGUAACGAAUCACAAAUAAUUGUGACCUUUAUGAAUAAAGAAACAUGACAGAGAUGAAUAAUAUCUACUGCCUGACCAAUCACUGACCAGAUAAUCCCAAACUGCAAGCUAGCAGUAAAAGAAAAAAAAAAAAAGCAAAUAUAGAACACUACAACAGGGGCUAUCAGAGCGAAACGUUUGACUCUGUGCCACCUGUUUAAAUUGUUUUUGCAGCCACAAGAAUGAAUGGAAACACCUUCGUAACCCCGGCGCUCGCCUUGCGACGCCAAGGCUGGCCGUGCCUCCGCCGGGCGGUGCUGGGCAGCUCGGCCGCAGCCUUCGGUCCAGCGGCACAGCGAGCACCCCCGGGCCGGGGCUGCAGCACCAGCACGGCGCUCGGGUG